rnacentral:rRNA from 1 species
UUUCCGUAGGUGAACAUGCGGAAGGAUCAUUG